rnacentral:rRNA from 1 species
GUACCGUGAGGGAAAGGUGAAAAGCACCCCGGAAGGGGAGUGAAACAGUUCCUGAAACCGUGUGCCUACAAGUAGUUAGAGCCCGUUAAUGGGUGAUAGCGUGCCUUUUGUAGAAUGAACCGGCGAGUUACGAUUUGUUGCAAGGUUAAGCGGAAAAAGCGGAGCCGUAGCGAAAGCGAGUCUGAAUAGGGCGCAUAAGUAACAGGUCGUAGACCCGAAACCAGGUGAUCUACCCAUGUCCAGGAUGAAGGUAAGGUAAUACUUACUGGAGGUCCGAACCCACGCACGUUGAAAAGUGCGGGGAUGAGGUGUGGGUAGCGGAGAAAUUCCAAUCGAACUUGGAGAUAGCUGGUUCUCUCCGAAAUAGCUUUAGGGCUAGCCUCGAGGUAAAGAGUCAUGGAGGUAGAGCACUGUUUGGACUAGGGGCCCUUCUCGGGUUACCGAAUUCAGAUAAACUCCGAAUGCCAUGUACUUAUACUCGGGAGUCAGACUGCGAGUGAUAAGAUCCGUAGUCGAAAGGGAAACAGCCCAGACCACCAGUUAAGGUCCCCAAAUAUAUGUUAAGUGGAAAAGGAUGUGGGGUUGCUUAGACAACCAGGAUGUUGGCUUAGAAGCAGCCACCAUUGAAAGAGUGCGUAAUAGCUCACUGGUCGAGUGACCCCGCGCCGAAAAUGUACCGGGGCUAAACAUAUUACCGAAACUGUGGAUGAACCUCUUUAGAGGUUCGUGGUAGGAGAGCGUUCUAAGGGCGGUGAAGUCAGACCGGAAGGACUGGUGGAGCGCUUAGAAGUGAGAAUGCCGGUAUGAGUAGCGAAAGAAGGGUGAGAAUCCCUUCCACCGAAUAUCUAAGGUUUCCUGAGGAAGGCUCGUCCGCUCAGGGUUAGUCGGGACCUAAGCCGAGGCCGAUAGGCGUAGGCGAUGGACAACAGGUAGAGAUUCCUGUACCAGUGCUAAUUGUUUAACCGAUGGGGUGACACAGAAGGAUAGGGAAUCGCACGAAUGGAAAUGUGCGUCCAAGCAGUGAGUGUGAGAAGUAGGCAAAUCCGCUUCUCGCGAAGCAUGAGCUGUGAUGGGGAAGGAAAUUAAGUACGGAAGUUCCUGAUUUCACGCUGUCAAGAAAAGCCUCUAGGAAGAGUAGUACUGCCCGUACCGCAAACCGACACAGGUAGAUGAGGAGAGAAUCCUAAGGUGAGCGAGAGAACUCUCGUUAAGGAACUCGGCAAAAUGACCCCGUAACUUCGGGAGAAGGGGUGCUCUAUUAGGGUGCAAGCCCGAGAGAGCCGCAGUGAAUAGGCCCAGGCGACUGUUUAGCAAAAACACAGGUCUCUGCAAAACCGUAAGGUGACGUAUAGGGGCUGACGCCUGCCCGGUGCUGGAAGGUUAAGAGGAGUGCUUAGCUUCGGCGAAGGUACGAAUUGAAGCCCCAGUAAACGGCGGCCGUAACUAUAACGGUCCUAAGGUAGCGAAAUUCCUUGUCGGGUAAGUUCCGACCCGCACGAAAGGCGCAACGAUCUGGGCACUGUCUCAACGAGAGACUCGGUGAAAUUAUAGUACCUGUGAAGAUGCAGGUUACCCGCGACAGGACGGAAAGACCCCGUGGAGCUUUACUGCAACCUGAUAUGGAAUGUUUGUACCGCUUGUACAGGAUAGGUAGGAGCCGAAGAGACGUGUGCGCUAGCAUACGAGGAGGCAAUGGUGGGAUACUACCCUGGCUGUAUGACCAUUCUAACCCGCCACGCUUAGCGCGUGGGGAGACAGUGUCAGGUGGGCAGUUUGACUGGGGCGGUCGCCUCCUAAAGAGUAACGGAGGCGCCCAAAGGUUCCCUCAGAAUGGAUGGAAAUCAUUCGCAGAGUGUAAAGGCACAAGGGAGCUUGACUGCGAGACUGACAAGUCGAGCAGGGACGAAAGUCGGGCUUAGUGAUCCGGUGGUUCCGCAUGGAAGGGCCAUCGCUCAACGGAUAAAAGCUACCCCGGGGAUAACAGGCUUAUCUCCCCCAAGAGUCCACAUCGACGGGGAGGUUUGGCACCUCGAUGUCGGCUCGUCGCAUCCUGGGGCUGUAGUCGGUCCCAAGGGUUGGGCUGUUCGCCCAUUAAAGCGGCACGCGAGCUGGGUUCAGAACGUCGUGAGACAGUUCGGUCCCUAUCCGUCGCGGGCGCAGGAAAUUUGAGAGGAGCUGUCCUUAGUACGAGAGGACCGGGAUGGACACACCGCUGGUGUACCAGUUGUUCCGCCAGGAGCAUCGCUGGGUAGCUAUGUGUGGCAGGGAUAAACGCUGAAAGCAUCUAAGCGUGAAGCCCCCCUCAAGAUGAGAUUUCCCAUUUCUUCGGAAAGUAAGAUCCCUGAAAGAUGAUCAGGUAGAUAGGUUUGGAGUGGAAGUGUAGCGAUACAUGGAGCGGACAAAUACUAAUCGAUCGAGGACUUAACCAAAA